AAAAUAUUAUUUUUAAAUUACUAAAACGCUACUAAUGGAAUGGCUUCCACCUUCUUUGGGUCGGUACUAGGGGUGGGACGGUGAUAUAUGGUGUUUUUCACAUCAUUGUAUAGGUGUUUUUGUAUUGAUUCGAGUCCUUAAUCCGAGUCAGUCUAGUCCUUUUUGAUCUUUUACAGGUCUGGAGUUGGUAGAAGAAUGAAGAGAGCGUGCUUGAAGAGAAGCUGUCCUUUUGGAGCAUUUUGCGGAGAACACUCAAGACGAACAGUCCCGAGACUGUUCUCAAGCAGAACAAGCAGACGGAGUGAUCUCGAGGUUGUUCCCGACAAAUAAGGAAGCUUCUAUUUUUGGGAAUUAGACGGAUCGGAUAUCCGGGGUAUUUUAGGAUAUCCGGAUCCGGAUUCGUCGGAUCCGUAAAAUUGUCAUUCGGAUCCGGAUUCGGGCUUCCCGGAUAUCUGGGGUUCGGAUAUCCGGACAAAAACUCGAAUAUCCGCGGAUAUCCAGAUCCGUUUAAAAAUAAUUAAAAUAAAUUAAAAAAAUAAAAUAAAUAAAAUAAAUUAAAUUAAAAAUUAACAAAAUUAAGCAUUUAUUUAUCUAAUAAAAAUUAUUUUUUCGUAAAAAAAGUUAAAAUUUUAAUAAAAACUAAUUUUUUUGUUAUUUUUAAUAGAAAUAUAUAUAAUAUACCUAUAUAAAUAAAAUUAUAUUUUAAAUAUUUUUAAAAUAUUAGUGGGCCCGGAUCCGGAUAUCCGGACUAAAAAUUUCACUAUCCGGAUUCGCCGGAUCGGUAAAAUCAAUAUCCAGAUCCGGAUCGGACCCCCCGGAUAUCCGUUUUGUCGGAGCGGAUCGGAGCGGAUCUGGGAUCAGAUAGCGGAUAUUAAGUCUCAGCCCUAGUCGGUACUAACGCCUCAGCUGAUAUUAAGUGUACAAGAUACUCAUUGCGUUAUAUAAUAGUACUUAUUGGAUUAGCGUUUGAUUAUUAAACGACUUUGAAAGAUUAACUAAUUUAAAAGUUGUUUUGUAACUCAUUUAUCAUUUAAAUAUCAUACAAAACUAUAAGUAAUAGUAUCAAACUAAUGAAUUUAAUAAAAAUUGCAUUUUAUGACAAUUUCAUAAUAUUUAAAUAAACUAAUUUGAAAAAAUAGUAUUAAUUAUUUAUAUUAUUAAAACAUAGUUAAAAUUACCAUUAAAUUAGGUCUGAGAUGUUGAACCGAACAAAAACCGCCAAACCAAAAAUUUGGUGAGAUUCGGUUCAGUUUGUCAAAUUUAUUUUAAAAUUUGGUUUCGGGUCAGUUCAGUUCGGCAAUUGGUUAGUUUCGAAAAAAUAUAUUUGAAAUUACCCGAGUUUAACUAAUUUUUAACCGAAAUAUAAUUGAAAUUAAAACAAUUCGGUUAGUUUCGGUAAAAAUAAUUAAAAAACAAAUUAAAUUACUACUAGAUCUUGAUGUGCGGGUUUUAUUUUUUCUAUACUAAAAUAUUAUAUAACAAUAUUACAUAACAAUACUAUUUUACAUAAAUUUUUUUGUAUUUUUCAGAAAAGAAUUGUUUUGUAAACAUUAUUAUGUAACAAUACUAUUUUACAUAAUUUUAUGUUUUAUUUCUAAAAUUUGGAAUUUAUAUGGAAAUUAAAUUAAACUGAACCUAUAUAAUAGAGAUGAUGUGCGUGUUUUAUUCUUUCUAUACUAAAAUAUUCUAUAACAAUACUAUUUUACCUAUUUUUUGUAUUUUGCAACAAAAAAAAUGUUUUGUAAACAUUAUUAUGUAACAAUACUAUUUUACAUAAUUUAAUGUCUCAUUUUUAAAAUUUGGAAUUUAUAUGGAAACUAAGUUAAACUGAACCUAUAUAAUAGAGAUGAUUUUUUUUGAGAUACUAUUAAAAAGAACAAAACUUAUUAAAAACUAUAAUAUUUUGUACUUGCAAAGUAAUUUUGUAAUAAAGAUCCCAUUUGAAAAAAAAAACUCAAUUAAAGAUAUUCUAACAUAUGAGUUUAGGGUUUAACAAUUAUUGUUUACGAUUUAUUAUUUAGGUGGUGAAGUUGAGUUUAUAAUCUUCUGUAACUAAUUCUUAUAUAUCUAUAAAUGUUUUGUGAGGGUUAAUUUUGUCUUUCAAUAAUAAAUUUAAGAUAUUUAUGAAAAAUGAUAAUAGUUUAAAGGUAAAUUUGAAAAAUAGUAUCAAAUCUGAAGUAAAAUUAAAAUUUGUUGGAAUUAUGUUAUAUACACAUUAAACCAAUUUGAUCAAUAUGUAUUCUCUUCAUAUAGAAUAGUGUUGGAAUAUUAAUCUUUUUUGAUAUAUAUAAGUCAUUCAUGCUAUGAUAUUAGUAUGCAUAUAGAUGAUAAAAGUGUGUUCGUGUUUAAUGUAUUCGUCCAUGUAUAUAUUCAUUUUGUAUGUAUAUUGAUUGAAGAAUGCAAACCCAUUAGGACCAAGUAGUCUAUUAGGUGAAGUGGUUGUCCUUGCUCGGGUUUGAAUCCCUAUCAUAACAGUUUAGAGAUUGUUUUUUCCAAACACAAAACGACGUUGUUUUUAUCUAUUUUAGGUUAACUUUCAUAAGAUGAUAUUGAAAAAUCUAAUAGUUAAUAAUGAUAAAUACUCAUAUUAAAGAUGUUACUUGAUUAACAUAGGAAUGUAAAUUGUAUAUCAGAAACAUUUCAUUAUAAUAUUGUGUGUACUAGUGUUUUCUUCAAACUGAUAGAUUGACAUUGACUCUUAAGAAAAAAAUACUUAUCUAUUUUACAAAAAAAAAACUGUAGAAAUUUCAAAAUAUCUGAGUUUUAAAACUUCUUUAUCAGAAACAAAAAUAAUUAAUUAAAGA